GGUCUUAUGGCUGAGUGGUUAUAGCGGAGUACUGUUAAUACUUUAUACAGAGGUUCAAGUCCUCUUAAGGCCU
rnacentral:tRNA from 1 species